GACGAACGCUGGCGGCGUGCCUAAUACAUGCAAGUCGAGCGAAGUUUUUCUGGUGCUUGCACCGGAAAAACUUAGCGGCGAACGGGUGAGUAACACGUAAAGAACCUGCCUCAUAGACUGGGACAACUAUUGGAAACGAUAGCUAAUACCGGAUAACAGCAUUAACUGCAUGGUUGAUGUUUAAAAGUUGGUUUUGCUAACACUAUGAGAUGGCUCUGCGGUGCAUUAGCUAGUUGGUGGGGUAAAGGCCUACCAAGGCGACGAUGCAUAGCCGACCUGAGAGGGUGAUCGGCCACACUGGGACUGAGACACGGCCCAGACUCCUACGGGAGGCAGCAGUAGGGAAUCUUCCGCAAUGGGCGAAAGCCUGACGGAGCAACGCCGCGUGAGUGAAGAAGGAUUUCGGUUCGUAAAGCUCUGUUGUUAGGGAAGAAUGAUUGUGUAGUAACUAUACACAGAGAGACG
rnacentral:rRNA from 1 species